GAACGCUGGCGGCGUGCUUAACACAUGCAAGUCGAACGGUGAAGGUGGAGCUUGCUCUGCUGGAUCAGUGGCGAACGGGUGAGUAACACGUGAGCAAUCUGCCCCUGACUCUGGGAUAAGCGCUGGAAACGGCGUCUAAUACUGGAUACGAGCUGCGAAGGCAUCUUCAGCAGCUGGAAAGAACUUCGGUCAGGGAUGAGCUCGCGGCCUAUCAGCUUGUUGGUGAGGUAACGGCUCACCAAGGCGUCGACGGGUAGCCGGCCUGAGAGGGUGACCGGCCACACUGGGACUGAGACACGGCCCAGACUCCUACGGGAGGCAGCAGUGGGGAAUAUUGCACAAUGGGCGAAAGCCUGAUGCAGCAACGCCGCGUGAGGGACGACGGCCUUCGGGUUGUAAACCUCUUUUAGCAGGGAAGAAGCGAAAGUGACGGUACCUGCAGAAAAAGCGCCGGCUAACUACGUG
rnacentral:rRNA from 1 species